rnacentral:rRNA from 1 species
UACGAAGGGGGUUAGCGUUGCUCGGAAUCACUGGGCGUAAAGGGUGCGUAGGCGGGUCUUUAAGUCAGGGGUGAAAUCCUGGAGCUCAACUCCAGAACUGCCUUUGAUACUGAGGAUCUUGAGUACGGGAGAGGUGAGUGGAACUGCGAGUGUAGAGGUGAAAUUCGUAGAUAUUCGCAAGAACACCAGUGGCGAAGGCGGCUCACUGGCCCGUUACUGACGCUGAGGCACGAAAGCGUGGGGAGCAAACAGG